rnacentral:rRNA from 1 species
AGAGUUUGAUCAUGGCUCAGGACGAACGCUGGCGGCGUGCCUAAUACAUGCAAGUCGAACGAACUCUGGUAUUGAUUGGUGCUUGCAUCAUGAUUUACAUUUGAGUGAGUGGCGAACUGGUGAGUAACACGUGGGAAACCUGCCCAGAAGCGGGGGAUAACACCUGGAAACAGAUGCUAAUACCGCAUAACAACUUGGACCGCAUGGUCCAAGUUUGAAAGAUGGCUUCGGCUAUCACUUUUGGAUGGUCCCACGGCGUAUUAGCUAGAUGGUGGGGUAACGGCUCACCAUGGCAAUGAUACGUAGCCGACCUGAGAGGGUAAUCGGCCACAUUGGGACUGAGACACGGCCCAAACUCCUACGGGAGGCAGCAGUAGGGAAUCUUCCACAAUGGACGAAAGUCUGAUGGAGCAACGCCGCGUGAGUGAAGAAGGGUUUCGGCUCGUAAAACUCUGUUGUUAAAGAAGAACAUAUCUGAGAGUAACUGUUCAGGUAUUGACGGUAUUUAACCAGAAAGCCACGGCUAACUACGUGCCAGCAGCCGCGGUAAUACGUAGGUGGCAAGCGUUGUCCGGAUUUAUUGGGCGUAAAGCGAGCGCAGGCGGUUUUUUAAGUCUGAUGUGAAAGCCUUCGG